AGGCUGGUCUUGAACUGUAAACCUCCUGCCUCAGCUUCCCAGAGUGCUGGGAUUACAGGUGUGCACCACCAUGCCUUACUUGAACUCAUUUUUACGCAUGGAGUAAGACACAGGUUGAGGUUCUUCCUUUGCAUGUGGACAGAGGGGUGUUCCAGAACUGCCUCUUCACCUGAGUUGGUUGCGAGUCAGAAAGACGGAGAUGUUGCCAUAAGCUGUACAGGUGAGCACUUAGGAGGCAGCAGGCGAUGCGGAGUGGAGGUGACCUGGCCCAGGUGUCUGCUGGAGUCUCGGGCGGGGGGGGGGCAGGUCUGGCAUCAUCUCGCAGGACUCGGAGACCCACAGAAUCCCUCCCACUCCAUGUAGGUGACAAAGAAAGCCCUAGGGAGACUUGUCGCCUGGCUUUAGACCUUGGUUACUUCUCAGCCCUGGUCUGCCAAGCAGAGACGCCCAACAUGAGAGCGAGGGUCACCAGCAGGCCGAAGAAGCAGCAGCCUCGGAGGGAAGGCACUAUUCCCUCAGGCACCGCUCCUGACCCAGCCUCACAGGACAGCAAGGGCCCUGAGUGGCACCCACGCCUGGAGGCUGCUGGGAAUAGCUGUCCCCAUGUGGUGCCUGAGACAUGGGAGUGGAGAGCAGAGAGGAUGAGCCGGGUGGGGCAGCAGCUGGGGAUUCUGAUACGUGUCCCAAAGGGGGACCGCGGAGUGUGUGCUCAGGUUCACAAGGCUCUAACCAAUGGGAGCCUGCAGGGGAAAUGCACACAGCCCGGCCGUGAGGAGGGGGCAGCGACACUGAGCCCUCAGGCGAGGGCCCGACCUGAGACAGACCGGGCGCCCAGUGUGGACCCCGCAGUGAGGCUGCCUGGAUGCCAGUCCAGCCUCUGCCACCUGCCCUUACCACAUCUAUAAGGUGGGUCCAUGUCUAAUGGGAUCCGAAUGCGAGAUGCAGGAACCAACUACAGUGGUUGCAUGGUUACCAUUCACUGCAAACUUAAUCACGUGGUACCUAGGCAAGGAUUCUUUAUAGAUUAGCUCAGUGAAUCCUCAUAAUAACCCUACAAGGGGACAUCUCACCCAUACUCUGCAGACUCAGAAGUUGCGGUGGGAAGGGUUCACAGACGUCCGCGAGACCACAGUCCCAGUCCCGGGCUCUGGGUCCGUCUGCCCGCCGUGGGCAGCUGCCCUGCCUGUCUGUCCCCUGCUCCUCACCCCCUCCUUAGAUGGGCCAUUGAGGGCUCAGCCACAUCUGGAGCUUGCCUGGAGCAGGUGAGAGGGCAGCUGAGCUUGGAGAACAGGCACCGUAUGUGGGGAGUCAGACUCGUCUGGGGCAGGAGUCAUUGUCUUUAUCUGCUGGAGAUAACAGCAGCUCGGGCCAGCAGUCACAUCUGUAGAGGUGGAGUGGGCAGCUUCCAGCCCUGAUGAGUUCCUCCUUGUGGGAGGGGUCUAGGAAAAGGCAAGUAGGAUUCAAAUCCAGAGAGGAGGAGGGAGUAGAUGUCUCUGGAAGCUGUGUGGAAUGCAGUGAUUGUCCACCCCUGCACUGAACCUGUGUCUCCAUCCUCACAGUAAUGGCAAUGGUUUUACCUCUUCCUGACUGCAAGGGCAUCGCCAGGGUCAGGAGAGAAGCUCCCAUUAAGCACAUCAGGAUCUGAAGGAGAGAGAGGCACUGUUUUAAGAUUUCCACCAUGGGACAGACCACUCUGUGUUUAUUUGUUCACCUCUUCAGUGGCAUUUGGAGCAAUCCAGUUUGGGGCAGUUGUGGAAAGAGAAGGUAUACGCAUACUUACAGAAUUCUGUACAUUCAUUUUCAUUUCUUUAGGGUAGGCACCUGGGAGUGGGAUUAUGAGGCCAUAUGGUAAUACAUGUUCUCAUAUCUAAGGAAGUGCCAAACCGUUUUCUGGAAUGGCCAUGGCAUUUUGCAUUCUCACCAGGAAUGCCUGAGUAAUGUCUUGUUUCUCUGCAUAAUCACUAGCACUUAGUAUUGCCAGGAUUUAAAAACAACUUAGCUGUUGUGACAGGUGGACAGUGACUUAUCACUGUGGAUUUGUAUUUCCCUGCCAGCUAAUGAUGUUAAACAUUGGCGAAACGUCACUUGUCUCUCUGUUCUAGGCUUCUGUCCAUUUUUAAAUUGGGCCGUUUAUUACUGAGUUGAGAGUUCUUCAAACUAAUUCUUUGUCAGGGAGGGCUGCAGUGAGCUGAGUGGGAGGUCUUCUCAGUUCUCCAAGGGAUGAGCCUGCCCAGUGUUCUGAGGUUCCCGAGCGAGUUGAGAGCGAAUGUGCUGUGGGCUGGUUGCCAGAGACCCGCGUGGGAUUCUCAACUCUGCCACUGCCCGGAGGUGAGAUGUGAGGAGACACCCUUGCUGUCUGGGCCUUGGUUUCUCCUGGGCUUAAUGAGGCUGAAGAUCCAAGUUGAAUGAAGAUCUUCCUGCCCAUUCAAUAAAAUAAAUCACUUUAAAACAUAUAUAAAAAUGCGGUAAGCAAAGCAAUUUUGACAAUACCUACUGUGGAUAAGAAUGUGGGCAAAUCAGUGCUGGAGAUACAUUGACUAUAGAUGGUUCUAGUUCUGUAGCUCAUCAUAUAUAUAAUCAAUCAUAUGUGGCUGGUCAAUCAUACUUCUCAUGUGGGAAAGAAAGAAAUGAAGGAGUGGAGAAAAGAAAGAAUAAUGAGAGGAAAGAAAAGGAUUGAAAAGACAAAAAGUAAAUCUAAAUGUGACGCUGCCUGGUGGGGAGCGGCUGUUGGUCACCUGUAGGCUGGCUAAGUGUCCGCCUCCCGCUGAGGUCAGAAAGUCCGUUUGCACACUUCAUCUGCCAUUUUUCAGUAUUGUCAUUAUACUUCCUUUGCACAAUAAACCAAUAAAUGUGCUAAUCUUGUUGAUUUCAUAUGUAAAUGUGGCUUUUGAAAAUGCCAGUUUCCUGGAGACAACAGGUGGCAGAGGGAAAACAGAACAACAGCAAUUUUGCAAUACAAGGAAAGGAGUUUUGGCAAGAUCAAGACAGCCCACAAUUAUUUAUGAAGACCGCAAGGUGGUGUCCCGGGUGCCUGCCGAAGUUUCAGGGCCAGUGAAGACAACUGCAGGGAGUGUCUGCCAAGUGGCGGAGCCUGGACCGCCCCCCCCCAGCCAUGCACUGUUAGUAUCUGCGACAUUGUGGACGAGCAUGUGAAUUCAUCUCUGUGUUUCUAGUUAACCUCAGUAUUUUCCAGCCUGGUAAAUUGCUGACCAGGCAUUUGAACAUAACAAUGUUAGUGUUAUAACAAUGGAAUAUUUGUUGGAGGCAUUUCACAAACUAGAAAAGAGAUACUGACUAGUUGAUAGUCUUUUGCUUAGCUUUUCAUUUUAUUUCUUUUCUUUUUUUUUUCAGGUACCAGGGAUUGAACUCAGGAUCUUGUACUUGAAAGGCAGGUCCUGUGCUACAUUCCAGGGAUCUGUGUAUCUUUCUCCUGCAAGGACAGAACUGCGUUUCCUGUAGCCAUAUACUACAUCUGGAAAUUGGGUAAAGCAAAUCCUCUCACUUGUUUGUCUUUUUUUUGAAGUUGUCUUAACUGUCUUGCCUCCUUUGUCUUUCCAAUUCGGUGAUAGUCUUUUAAGGAAAUGGAGGGGAAGCAGUUGGAUGUUCAUAGGUAAAAUAAGUACCUGGUGUUUGACAGUUAAUUUUGGUUCUUACCGUGGCUGGAUCGCGGGACGCCUCGGGUGUUGGCAAAGCACACUUCCUCUGGGUGAGUGUGAGGCUGCUCCAGAGGAGACGGGUGUGCGUGGCCAGUGUGACCUGGAUGGGAAAGCCCUUCCCUGAGUGCGGGGUCACCAGGGUCUGCAUGGAGCAAAAGACCAGAAGACGAAGCAGCUUGUGUGCAUGCUCAGCUCUUCUCCAACUAUUGAGUUUUCUCUGCUGUUGUCACCUAUAAACAUCAGACUCCAGGUUCUUUGACCUUUGACCAUGAGCUUGAAUCUGUGGCUUUCCAGGGAGCUUCUGGGCUGAGGCUGCACAGUGGGCCUCUUUUUCACUCUGGGGCUUUCACUCAGACUCCUUGGACUGAGCAGCUCGUGUUUCCCUGGCUCUCCCCUGCACACAGCCCCUGAUCCUGUGAGCCAAUCUAAUAAACCCCCGGAUAUAAUAUAAUAUAAUAUAAUAAAAUAAAAUAAUCUAUUUUUCUGGAGAAUGCUACUGAUACAUAGUCCUAGACCUUACACCAUAUAUGCAAGUUAACUUAAAUGGGUCGUAGAUUCAAAUGUAAAACUAUACACCUCUGAGAAAAUGUUCAGAGCUUAGGCUUAAUUCAGACAUUUUCGGAAUUGACACCAAAACCGUGACCCUAAUAAAUUAAGCCUCAUUAAAAUAAAAAACCUGCUCUGCAAUAAAUCUAUUAGGAGGAUAAAAAAACAAGUGAUAGAGGAGAAAAUACCUGCAAAUGACAGACCUGUCUACUGUCUAGAAAAGGACGACUGUCUAGAAAAUAUAAAAAGCUUCCUAAAACUUAACAGUUCAAUUCUGGAAUGGGCAAAAGGCUUGAACAGACAUUUCACCAAACAGGACCAACAGACGGCAAACCAGCACACAAAAAGACAUCAAUGACAUCAGCCAUCAGGGAAAUGGAAAUUAAAACUGCAGGAAGAGGCCACCACACACCCACCGGAGUGACAAUGCCAACGCUGGCCAGGACUGGAGGCUGGGUCACAUGGACUGCAGACAAAGUGUGGCCGCUCUGGGACACAUCUCGGCCGUGUCUCAUUGGCUUCACAUGGACAGUCCAUUCCUCAUGGCACCUUGUGUGCUGUGGUGCUCGACUCUGACUGUCAUCAUACGGCUGGCUAGGCUGCCCAGGCUUUUCUAUGCAGCACCUAUUUCUUUGAAUUGUUAUCCUUUUCUACUUCCAUCCAAGUCUUCUGUCCGGUACUUAUUUCUCUCUUCUUAUUCUAUCGAUGAAGCCCUCAUGUCCACUUGUGGAGUCACAUGGGCUUUUGAGUUCGGAGGAGAUUCUGUGGUUCUCUACACAGAUAUUCAGCCGAACACAGUUUCCAUGCUGUGUCGUAUUCUGAGCCCUCUUCUCCAGAGUCUAGAGUGUUUCCUCUUAAGCCCCUGGCCUGUAGUUUCUCAAGGGAUGCUGCUGGCAGUGUCUGCUCCAUCUCCUAAAGCAGGAAUGUCGGGCUCUCGCUAUUCCUAGAAGGAAGCUCUCUAUUCUCCCACCUUCUUAGAGUAGUGUAUGUUAUUUUCAUUGUUUCAUGUAACAUUUCUGUAUUUGGGGGAUCGAGGAAGAGCUAAACCAGGCCAGUCUACAUAUCCACACAAACCCUCUCUUCUUACAGUAUUUGCUCCAGGAGGAGAAGAAUUUUGACUUCCAAACUGCUGGCCUAUUUCGAGGGAACACAAGGUGAAUAGCCCUGAAAGUCCUGUUUGGAGGCCCCACCCGCUGCACCACAGGGAGCUGGGUGCCCACUCCCUCGGGCCAAGGCAGGAGCUGUUCAUCAUUCUAUAAUGAUCCGAAUCACACAGGAGCAUCCAUCCAGGGGUGUCUGCUACAGCAACUUUUCUUACUUAUGUAAAAUUUUUAUUUUAGAAUAGUUUUAGAUUGACAAAAGAAGUUGUGAAGAUAAUAUAGAGUCCCUGGAUGCAUAUCACUUAGUUUCUGCAUUGUUAAUAUCUGAUAUUAGUUACACAUCUGCUAUCACACAGGAACCCACUGGUCCAGCUGUUACAUAGACUUCAUAACUAAUUUAAAUGUCACUAGUUGUUACCCCUCAUCCUCGCUGACUUUGUGUGUAUUAUACAUUUAAAUAUAUGAUACUCCCAUAGCUAUGCA